AUUGAACGCUGGCGGCAUGCCUUACACAUGCAAGUCGAACGGCAGCACGGGAGCAAUCCUGGUGGCGAGUGGCGAACGGGUGAGUAAUAUAUCGGAACGUGCCCAGUCGUGGGGGAUAACGCAGCGAAAGCUGUGCUAAUACCGCAUACGAUCUACGGAUGAAAGCGGGGGAUCGCAAGACCUUGCGCGAUUGGAGCGGCCGAUAUCAGAUUAGCUAGUUGGUGGGGUAAAGGCCCACCAAGGCGACGAUCUGUAGCUGGUCUGAGAGGACGACCAGCCACACUGGAACUGAGACACGGUCCAGACUCCUACGGGAGGCAGCAGUGGGGAAUUUUGGACAAUGGGCGCAAGCCUGAUCCAGCAAUGCCGCGUGCAGGAUGAAGGCCUUCGGGUUGUAAACUGCUUUUGUACGGAACGAAACGGCUCCUUCUAAUACAAGGGGCUAAUGACGGUACCGUAAGAAUAAGCACCGGCUAACUACGUGCCAGCCGCCGCCGUAACAC
rnacentral:rRNA from 1 species